CCAGACUCCUACGGGAGGCAGCAGUGGGGAAUAUUGCACAAUGGGGGAAACCCUGAUGCAGCGACGCCGCGUGAAGGAUGAAGUAUUUCGGUAUGUAAACUUCUAUCAGCAGGGAAGAAAAUGACGGUACCUGACUAAGAAGCCCCGGCUAACUACGUGCCAGCAGCCGCGGUAAUACGUAGGGGGCAAGCGUUAUCCGGAUUUACUGGGUGUAAAGGGAGCGUAGACGGCAUGGCAAGUCUGAUGUGAAAACCCGGGGCUCAACCCCGGGACUGCAUUGGAAACUGUCAGGCUAGAGUGUCGGAGAGGCAAGUGGAAUUCCUAGUGUAGCGGUGAAAUGCGUAGAUAUUAGGAGGAACACCAGUGGCGAAGGCGGCUUGCUGGACGAUGACUGACGUUGAGGCUCGAAAGCGUGGGGAGCAAACAGGAUUAGAUACCCGUGUA
rnacentral:rRNA from 1 species